rnacentral:rRNA from 1 species
CCUACGGGAGGCAGCAGUGAGGAAUAUUGGUCAAUGGACGAGAGUCUGAACCAGCCAAGUAGCGUGAAGGAUGACUGCCCUAUGGGUUGUAAACUUCUUUUAUAUGGGAAUAAAACGUUCCACGUGUGGGAUUUUGUAUGUACCAUAUGAAUAAGGAUCGGCUAACUCCGUGCCAGCAGCCGCGGUAAUACGGAGGAUCCGAGCGUUAUACGGAUUUAUUGGGUUUAAAGGGAGCGUAGGUGGAUUGUUAAGUCAGUUGUGAAAGUUUGCGGCUAAACCGUAAAAUUGCAAUUGAAACUGGCAGUCUUGAGUACAGUAGAGGUGGGCGGAAUUCGUGGUGUAGCGGUGAAAUGCUUAGAUAUCACGAAGAACUCCGAUUGCGAAGGCAGUUCACUGGACUGCAACUGACACUGAGGCUCGAAAGUGUGGGUAUCAAACAGGAUUAGAUACCCUUGUAGUC